rnacentral:rRNA from 1 species
GAUGAACGCUGGCGGCGUGCUUAACACAUGCAAGUCGAACGGUGAAGCAGGAGCUUGCUCUUGUGGAUCAGUGGCGAACGGGUGAGUAACACGUGAGCAACCUGCCCCUGACUCUGGGAUAAGCGCUGGAAACGGCGUCUAAUACUGGAUAUGUGAUGUGACCGCAUGGUCUGCAUCUGGAAAGAAUUUCGGUUGGGGAUGGGCUCGCGGCCUAUCAGCUUGUUGGUGAGGUAAUGGCUCACCAAGGCGUCGACGGGUAGCCGGCCUGAGAGGGUGACCGGCCACACUGGGACUGAGACACGGACCAGACUCCUGCGGGAGGCAGCAGUGGGGAAUAUUGCACAAUGGGCGGAAGCCUGAUGCAGCAACGCCGCGUGAGGGAUGACGGCCUUCGGGUUGUAAACCUCUUUUAGCAGGGAAGAAGCGAAAGUGGCGGUACCUGCAGAAAAAGCACCGGCUAACUACGUGCCAGCAGCCGCAGUAA